UUUCAUUUCUGUGGAAUCCCGGAUGAUGAGCAUCACCAAGUGCAGAAGCUGAGUUGGGUGGAACAGUUGCUCACAGUGGGGCAGCUCGCUCAUUGCCUUGACACAUGCUCUUGUUUUGCCAUGAACAUAAACUUGUGGUGGGGCUUAUUUAUAGCCCCGGUGCCAAAGUUUCAACCACAGUGAGAGACCUAAGGAUUUCAAGGAAAACUCAAAGCACCAAUAUUCAGUGAUAGAAGACUCAGAGGUUUGAUGCAGAGUUCACUCUCUGAAAAUGAAUGUUCAGACUCAGUUCCAUGACCCGAAGAAGACAGAUGCAGAGAGAAAAGAAAGAAGAGUGGAAAAACACCUUUUAUAGCACAACCUUUCAAUAUUUAGUCAUUACUAGAUAAACAAUAAAAAAAAAGACAAAUCACAUAGGCAAAAGAAUUUUUGUAGUACCAAAAUAUAUAAAACCUGAAUAUCAAGGCUGCUUCCGAAAACAUUAAGAAACAGAACACGACAUGAAACAUGUUACUGAAAAAUGCAAAUGACUGAUAUACACAUAAAAAGGUGAUGAGCAUCAGUAAUAAGUAAUGAAAAAUAAAUGUAAGCCACAGUGAAAUGCCAUUUUAAAAAUUGUGCUUGUCAGAUUGGCAAAAAAAUUAAAAAGUGAGUGAAAGUACCAAAUAUUAAUGAGGAUGUAGGAAAACUAUAAUUUUGCUUUUUGUUGAAAGGACUGUAGACUGUUACAGUCUUGUAGAUUGGUACAAACUUUAAAAAAUAUUUUGGUUAUGUCUAUUAAUUUAUUAUUUCUAUUAAUAUAAAAUAUAAAUUACCUAAAGAACCAGGAUCACACUGCUAAGAAUUGAUCUUAUAGAUAUAAUAUAUUGAAUAUUUAAAGACAUUCCUUCUUUCUUUAAACAAACGUUUUUGACUGCUGACUAAAUGUCAGUCAUAUUCUAUACACAUGAGAAACAUCAGUGAACAAAACAAAAAUCAUGGCCGGGCGCAGUGGCUCAUGCCUGUAAUCCUAGCACUUUGAGAGGCCAAGGUCGGCAGAUCACCUGAGGUCAGGAGUUUGAGACCAGCCUGGCCAACAUGGCGAAACCCCAUCUCUACUAAAAAUACAAACAUUAGCCAGGUGUGUUGGUGCAUGCCUGUAAUUCCAGCUACCCGGGAGGCUUAAGCAGGAGAAUUGCUGGAACCCAGGAAGUGGAGGCUUCAGUGAGCCAAGAUGGCACCUCUGUACUCCAGCCUGGGCGACAGAGUGAGACUCUGUCUCAAACAACAACAACAACAACGAAAAACAAAGAUCUUUGCUCUUGUGGAACAUACAUUCUUGUGAGGGAAAUACCAAUAAAUGUAAGCAAUUAUUCUUUAGUCUCAAUUUUCAUCUCUAGGAUGUGAUAUUUGUUGGAAUGGAAGGCAUAGUCAAUGCCAAAGAUGUCAAUACUGGUAAUUCUUUUAAAUGUAAAUAAAGUAUUUUAUAAGACUGCAGAAAUAUUUCAGAUAACUUGACUAAAGCUAAGAGAUAAAAAUCUUAUGUGACUUAUUUUAGAUUCAGUGUGUCUUUUUAACAUGGUAGUUAAAACUUGUAUAACAAAUCUUAUCAUAAAUUACUUAUUCCAAUUAGACAAUUGUCUUAUUUCAUUUUAUAAAAUGAUGAAUUUCAUUUAAUAUUUAACAUUAACAUUUAUUUAAUACACUAACAUUAAACAAUAUUCAUUUUAUAUUCUCAAUCUCAUUAAUAUUUUAAUAUUUUCAAUUUUUUAUUAAGAAAAAAUGUACAGUCAUGUACUAAUCUUAACAGUUUUUAACUGUAUAUACCUUUUUCAUUUACUACCACAUGGAAAAGUUUUGAUCAUGAUAUACAAUUAAAUUACUAAAAUUAUUUUUGAUUUUU